rnacentral:rRNA from 1 species
GACGAACGCUGGCGGCGUGCCUAAUACAUGCAAGUCGAGCGAACCGCUCGGAGCUUGCUCCCUGAGAUUAGCGGCGGACGGGUGAGUAACACGUGGGUAACCUGCUUGUAAGACUGGGAUAACUUCGGGAAACCGGAGCUAAUACCGGAUAAUUUCUUUUUUCGCAUGAGGGAAGAUGGAAUGAUGGUUCUGCUACCACUUACAGAUGGACCCGCGGCGCAUUAGCUAGUUGGUGAGGUAACGGCUCACCAAGGCAACGAUGCGUAGCCGACCGGAGAGGGUGGUCGGCCACACGGGGACGAGGACACGGCGCAGACUGCUACGGGAGGCAGCAGGAGGGAAUCUUCCGCAAGGUACGAAAGUCUGACGGAGCAACGCCUCGUGAGGAAAAAGGGGCUUCGGGUCGUAAAGCUCUGUUGUUAGAGAAGAACAAGUACGAGAGUAACUGCUCGUACCUUGACGGGACCUAACCAGAAAGCCACGGCUAACUACGUGCCAGCCGCCGCCGUAAUAC